AUGCUCGCCGGGGCUUGGUCCCUCCAUGUGGUCCUGGCCUGCCCUCCAUGAGCGAGAGAAACAGGACUGGUUUGGGGGUGUCCUGUCCAAGUUGACAUGGGACACCAUGGUUUUCAGUACAACA